rnacentral:rRNA from 1 species
CAGUCGCCGCGGGAAUACGUAGGGGGCGAGCGUUGUCCGGAAUUACUGGGCGUAAAGGGCACGCAGGCUGUGAUUCAAGUCAGCUGUAAAAGGAUGCGGCUUAACCGUGUUUAGCAGUUGAAACUGGAUGACUGGAGUGCUGGAGAGGCAAGUGGAAUUCCCAGUGUAGCGGUGAAAUGCGUAGGUAUUGGGAAGAACAUCGGUGGCGAAGGCGACUUGCUGGCCAGUAACUGACGCUGAGGUGCGAAAGCCAGGGUAGCAAACGGGAUUAGAUACCCCUGUAGUCCCUGUCUCUUAUACA